CCUACGGGAGGCAGCAGUGGGGAAUAUUGGACAAUGGGGGCAACCCUGAUCCAGCCAUGCCGCGUGUGUGAAGAAGGCCCUCGGGUUGUAAAGCACUUUCAGUGAGGAAGAACGCCUGGUGGUUAAUACCCAUCAGGAAAGACAUCACUCACAGAAGAAGCACCGGCUAACUCCGUGCCAGCAGCCGCGGUAAUACGGAGGGUGCGAGCGUUAAUCGGAAUUACUGGGCGUAAAGCGCGCGUAGGUGGCUUGAUAAGCCGGUUGUGAAAGCCCCGGGCUCAACCUGGGAACGGCAUCUGGAACUGUCAAGCUAGAGUGCAGGAGAGGAAGGUAGAAUUCCCGGUGUAGCGGUGAAAUGCGUAGAGAUCGGGAGGAAUACCAGUGGCGAAGGCGGCCUUCUGGACUGACACUGACACUGAGGUGCGAAAGCGUGGGUAGCAAACAGGAUUAGAUACCCUGGUAGUC
rnacentral:rRNA from 1 species